AGAGCGCGUGUGGCCGCGCCGAGCACAUGGGCAGCGGGCCGGUCGGGCUUGGGGCGGCCCGGACGGGGAGGGGCGGCGAGGGGCCGCGAGCGAGGAUGGGCCCUGGCACCCCGGAACCCCCUAAGUGGAUUUCCACGCGGAAGGGAUGUUGGCGGCCCCGGUGACCUGUGGAGAUACGGCUGGAACCACCCUCCA
rnacentral:lncRNA from 1 species